CCUACGGGAGGCAGCAGUGGGGAAUAUUGCGCAAUGGGCGAAAGCCUGACGCAGCGACGCCUCGUGAGGGAUGAAGGUCUUCGGAUCGUAAACCUCUGUCAAGAGGGAAGAAACCCUUGAGUUCGAACAGGGCUCUUGGCUGACGGUACCUCUAAAGGAAGCACCGGCUAACUCCGUGCCAGCAGCCGCGGUAAU
rnacentral:rRNA from 1 species